AACUAGACAAGGCAUCUAAUAACUUUUGUGUGUUAUUUAGCAAUUAUUUUCGAUGAAUAUUCACAGAAUAAAUUCAAAAUAAAAAUUACCCGAUACAUGCCUCAAGUCCAAUAUUACAAAAUGAUCAAAGCCUAAUCUAUUACAAUCAGAAGUGAAAGAUGUGCAAGUCUCGGGCAGCCUGUUGGAUUGCAAACAUCCCAACAAAGUCCAACACGACACCAAUAUCCCCAAAUGGAUGUUCCUACAUAAAAUGGGAAGUUAGUAGAAACUAUUAUAGCUAAUGCCAAGAUCAAAAUAUAAAGUAGUAUGGAUUAAAGAGGACUUCAUUUAUGAGAUUAUAUCAAAUAAAAUAUGAGGAUAUUGCAAGUGGGUAGUAUGCAUUUAAUGCAUAUAAUCUUUGCAUAUCUCAUAACAAGAUUUGUUAAGGAGAUCUAGGGGGCAGAUUAUGCCAAGUAAACAAGUAAGAUAUCAAAUCUCUCAGGAGAUCAAAACGUAUCAAAUAAGAGAUUUUUAUAUCAUAGCUUGCAACUUACCCAAGGAUGACAACUAUAUACAACCCCAAAGAUAGAAGCACAGCCUCCAAGUUUUAGGCACUAACUGCCGAGAUGGAGGCCUAUAUAAGCCGCCUCCCUUCACCUUCCCCCACCCCACCAUUCGACACCAAUAUUCACACAACAUAAGGAGCUGCACAAGGAGUGGAGAGGGGAGCAAGGAGGAGUGGCAGGGGCAGGACAUCAGUCCACCAAACCAAGAGGAAUCACCGAGAGCUUAGUCGGAACGAAAGAUUCAAGUUAAGAGAACUAAGCGAUCGAGUGGAGACAAUGGUGAGUGGAGCAUCUAUAUGCUCAAGGAUAAGCAAAACGUUUACCAGGAGUUAUUGUUGAGGCCUACUGCUCCUCACUUUGUAAGGAAGAGGGCUAUUUAUUUGGUGCCUGCAAAGAUCAACAAUGUCUCUGCUCACAAGUUUGCAAUUAGAAUUGUAACUUAGAUUUUGUUGCCAAUUUAGGCAUUAGAGUUUAUGUAUUUUCAUAAUAGUAAUGUCGAAAUGGAAAACUUCAAUUUGAAUUUC